UCGUGAUGAUGAUGAUGAUGAUGAUGAUGAUGAUGAUAUCCUCUCAAUUGUCAUCAGUCGUCGUCGUCAUCAUCACGCUCU
rnacentral:miRNA from 1 species